rnacentral:misc_RNA from 1 species
GAUGAAGAACGUAGCGAAAUGCGAUAAGUAGUGUGAAUUGCAGAAUUCAGUGAAUCAUCGAAUCUUUGAACGCACAUUGCGCCUCCUGGUAUUCCGGGAGGCAUGCCUGUUCGAGCGUCAUUAAAAUCACUCAAGCUUAGGUUUACCUAUUGCUUGGUCUUGGAGAUGGAAGCCAAUUCAUUGGAAUCCUCUUCGAAAUCCAAUGGCGAAGACCCUUGCUCUCCCAAGUGUAGUAAUAACUUAUGUCACUGAAGGAAGCGAGAAAUCUUCCGCCGUAACCCCCAUAUUUUCUAUGAUUGACCUCGGAUCAGGUAGGGAUACCCGCUGAACUUAAGCAUAUCAAUAGCGGAGA